rnacentral:lncRNA from 1 species
CUCCGCCCUCAAUAGCGUGGUAACGGAUGACAGGACACCACUUUCAACGAAGGAGACAGACAUUUCCCUGGCCUUUCUGAAGAGCGCUUUUUGGAGAGACAAACCUGUUGCUCAGGGGCUGAGCAUUCCCGUGUGUUCUCCCUGUACUUCACCUAAAAAUAUGCCUGUUUUCCACACUGUGCACACCCGGGGGUGGGUGCUGGGCAUACUCCACCUGCUUGUUUGCCUCCCGUUUUCUCAUCAGGGAGUAAACACAGUAAACCUAACGCUCCAGGGGAAGGAAAAAACAAAUCAUUCAGGGCCCAUCUCAGGUGACUGAUGAAUGCGGCACCGUUUUGAACGGGUACCUAAUCUGGUCCAGAUAUGCCUGCUGGGGCUGCAAGAACCAAGACACGUUCAAGCACGUUUGCUCCGGCAAGCUUGGGCGAGCAGGUCAAGACCUCAGAGUUUUAGAAAGCAGGGGCGAAGUUUUCAAGCACGAUGGGAACACCUGUAGGUGCAGGUGCCUGAGGGUCGGCCGACCACCUCGCAUCUGAGGCUGGAUCCGCACACGGAGAACGACAACUGCUCACAGGGACGUGCGUCCGGAGGAAAGUUGCGCGGCGGGAGAGGGCGAAGUGGAGGACUGCUGCUCGGUUCCGUAUCCAA